GCCUGGCCACCAAUCACACUUCCACCUGCACCAACAGCUGGUCUAAAACCAGAACACGUGGGUCACAACCUGACCGCCCCACUAACUGUGAUCACUCACCGUGGGGACAUGUGGGAGGGGCAGGUUUGUUUCGACCUGAAGGAUGAGAUUGUGGCGUGGGAGCUGGUUCUGGACUUCACUUCGGAUGUGAAGGGAAUCUCCACGUCAGAGGGGGAUGUGUUGGGAGACUCGUCGUCGUGCGGCAAGCGCUUCGUCAUGGUCAACCACGACUACAUGGGUAUCCACUAUGGAGGAGCUCAGUACUGUAUCAAAGAUGUCUGGCAA